rnacentral:rRNA from 1 species
AUGCAGUCGAGCGCAGUCCUUCGGGACCGAGCGGCGGACGGGUUAGUAACGCGUGGGAACAUACCCUUUUCUACGGAAUAGCCUCGGGAAACUGAGAGUAAUACCGUAUAAGCCCUUCGGGGGAAAGAUUUAUCGGGAAAGGAUUGGCCCGCGUUAGAUUAGAUAGUUGGUGGGGUAAUGGCCUACCAAGUCUACGAUCUAUAGCUGGUUUUAGAGGAUGAUCAGCAACACUGGGACUGAGACACGGCCCAGACUCCUACGGGAGGCAGCAGUGGGGAAUCUUAGACAAUGGGCGCAAGCCUGAUCUAGCCAUGCCGCGUGUGUGAUGAAGGUCUUAGGAUCGUAAAGCACUUUCGCCAGGGAUGAUAAUGACAGUACCUGGUAAAGAAACCCCGGCUAACUCCGUGCCAGCAGCCGCGGUAAUACGGAGGGGGUUAGCGUUGUUCGGAAUUACUGGGCGUAAAGCGUACGUAGGCGGAUCAGAAAGUUAGGGGUGAAAUCCCGAGGCUCAACCUCGGAACUGCCUCUAAAACUCCUGGUCUUGAGUUCGAGAGAGGUGAGUGGAAUUCCAAGUGUAGAGGUGAAAUUCGUAGAUAUUUGGAGGAACACCAGUGGCGAAGGCGGCUCACUGGCUCGAUACUGACGCUGAGGUACGAAAGUGUGGGGAGCAAACAGGAUUAGAUACCCUGGUAGUCCACACCGUAAACGAUGAAUGCCAGUCGUCGGGCAGUAUACUGUUCGGUGACACACCUAACGGAUUAAGCAUCCGC